GACGAACCGUGCGAACGUUGUUCGGAAUCACUGGGCUUAAAGGGCGCGUAGGCGGAUUGCCGCGUCCGGGGUGAAAUCCCACGGCUCAACCGUGGAACGGCCUCGGAUACGGGCGAUCUCGAGGGGGGUAGGGGCAUCUGGAACUGUGAGUGGAGCGGUGAAAUGCGUUGAUAUUCACAGGAACUCCGGUGGCGAAGGCGAGGUGCUGGACCCCAUCUGACGCUGAGGCGCGAAAGCCAGGGGAGCGAACGGG
rnacentral:rRNA from 1 species